GACGAACGCUGGCGGCGUGCCUAAUACAUGCAAGUCGAGCGGACAGACGGGAGCUUGCUCCCUGAUGUUAGCGGCGGACGGGUGAGUAACACGUGGGUAACCUGCCUGUAAGACUGGGAUAACUCCGGGAAACCGGGGCUAAUACCGGAUGGUUGUCUGAACCGCAUGGUUCAGACAUAAAAGGUGGCUUCGGCUACCACUUACAGAUGGACCCGCGGCGCAUUAGCUAGUUGGUGAGGUAACGGCUCACCAAGGCAACGAUGCGUAGCCGACCUGAGAGGGUGAUCGGCCACACUGGGACUGAGACACGGCCCAGCAUCCUACGGGAGGCAGCAGUAGGGAAUCUUCCGCAAUGGACGAAAGUCUGACGGAGCAACGCCGCGUGAGUGAUGAAGGUUUUCGGAUCGUAAAGCUCUGUUGUUAGGGAAGAACAAGUGCCGUUCAAAUAGGGCGGCACCUUGACGGUACCUAACCAGAAAGCCACGGCUAACUACGUG
rnacentral:rRNA from 1 species